CGGGACGGGUGAGUAAUGCUUGGAAGUCUGGCUUAUGGAGGGGGAUAACUACGGGAAACUGUAGCUAAUACCGCGUAGUAUCGGAAGAUGAAAGUGCGGGACCGUAAGGCCGCAUGCCAUGGGAUGAGCCCAAGUGGGAUUAGGUAGUUGGUGGGGUAAAGGCCUACCAAGCCUGCGAUCUCUAGCUGGUCUGAGAGGAUGGCCAGCCACACUGGAACUGAGACACGGUCCAG
rnacentral:rRNA from 1 species